GAGUUUGAUCAUGGCUCAGAACGUACGCUGGCGGCACGCCUAACACAUGCAAGUCGAACGAAGUAGCAAUACUUAGUGGCAGACGGGUGAGUAACAUGUAGGUAUCUGCCCUUUGGCCUGGAAUAACACGAGGAAACUUGUGCUAAUACCGGAUAAGUCUUUACAGAGAAAGCUUUAUGCACCAUUGGAUGAGCCUGCACUUGAUUAGUUUGUUGGUGGGGUAAUGGCCUACCAAGACUGUGAUCAAUAGCUGAUUUGAGAGGAUGAUCAGCCACAUUGGGACUGAGACACGGCCCAAACUCCUACGGGAGGCAGCAGUGGGGAAUCUUGCACAAUGGAGGAAACUCUGAUGCAGCGAUGCCGCGUGAGUGAAGAAGGCCCUUGGGUUGUAAAGCUCUUUCGUCGGGGAAGAAAAUGACUGUACCCGAAUAAGAAGGUCCGGCUAACUUCGUGCCAGCAGCCGCGGUAAUACGAAGGGACCUAGCGUAGUUCGGAAUUACUGGGCUUAAAGAGUUCGUAGGUGGUUAAAAUAGUUGGUGGUGAAAUCCCAGAGCUUAACUCUGGAACUGCCAUCAAAACUUUUUAGCUAGAGUAUGAUAGAGGAAAGCAGAAUUUCUAGUGUAGAGGUGAAAUUCGUAGAUAUUAGAAAGAAUACCGAUUGCGAAGGCAGCUUUCUGGAUCAUUACUGACACUGAGGAACGAAAGCAUGGGUAGCGAAGAGGAUUAGAUACCCUCGUAGUCCAUGCCGUAAACGAUGUGUGUUAGACGUUGGAAAUUUAUUUUCAGUGUCGCAGCGAAAGCGAUAAACACACCGCCUGGGGAGUACGACCGCAAGGUUAAAACUCAAAUGAAUUGACGGGGACCCGCACAAGUAGUGGAGCAUGUGGUUUAAUUCGAAGAUACGCGCAGAACCUUACCAACACUUGACAUGUUCGUCGCGACUUUAAGAGAUUAAAGUUUUCGGUUCGGCCGGACGAAACACAGGUGCUGCAUGGCUGUCGUCAGCUCGUGUCGUGAGAUGUUGGGUUAAGUCCCGCAACGAGCGCAACCCUCACUUUUAGUUGCCAUCAUUAAGUUGGGCACUCUGAAAGAACUGCCAGUGAUAAGCUGGAGGAAGGUGGGGAUGACGUCAGGUCCUCAUGGCCCUUACGUGUUGGGCUACACACGUGCUACAAUGGUAUCUACAACAGGAAGCAAAACUGCGAAGUUAAGCAAAUCCUUAGAAGAUACCUCAGUUCGGAUUGCACUCUGCAACUCGAGUGCAUGAAGCUGGAAUUACUAGUAAUCGUGGAUCAGCGUGCCACGGUGAAUGCGUUCCCGGGUCUUGUACACACCGCCCGUCACACCAUGGGAGUUGGUUCUACCUUAAGGCAAGGUUUUAAACCCUUGACCACGGUAUAGUCAGCGACUGGGGUGAAGUCGUAACAAGGUAACC
rnacentral:rRNA from 1 species